AAAGUGCCUCUGUUUAAAUUAAGGCAGCAUUGUAGCUUUCAGUGCUAUCAGCAAUUACUUUACUAAGUUCUAAGACUGUGAACUUUAAAAGAGAGAGAAGUUCUGGCUUGAAGGAACAGCCUAGUGCAACUUAAAGCACCUGAAAUCUAAAGCCUCUCAUGGGUAGACUUAAUGUUUCUUCAACUUGACAUCAGCUAACUGAUGACGAUUGCUGAGCUAAUGGAAGUUAAUGGCAAAGCUUCCAUUGACUUUAGUGGUGCAUGGUGAGGACCAAAGUGUUACAUGCCCUCAACUCUCAUUCUAGAGGUGCUCAGUCCUCUCAGGCUCUUUGGCAUAAAUUUUUGACUCACAGGAAUUCAAAUGACCAUUAGAAUGAUCUGCUACAGUAACUUACUGAGAAGCUGUUGCCAUUCUUUAUAUUGCAGCAGAAAAUGCAGGUUCUCAAAAUUCUUCCCAUCGUAUAACCUUUGCUUUGUAACAAUUAAAGGUCGUUGUCCAUCUGCCUCUGGUUGUUUUAAAAGAAAAUAAUAAUAAUAAUAAUAAUAAUAAUAAUAAGGGUG